GUGCCUGCUUCAGCAGCACAUAUCCUAAUACUGGAACGAUACACAGAUUAACACAGCCCCUGCACAAGGAUGACACGCAAUUUCAUGAAGCAUUCUAACAGAGA
ensembl:snRNA U6 U6 spliceosomal RNA